CAGACUGGUCCAGGCAUCCUCUGGACCACUGCCAGCAGACCAAGGUGGGGUCAGCCUUGUGGAUUCCUGAGAGUCUCCCCAGCACCCUGCCUCUUCCUAUUCCCAUGAUGUCCUCAUCUAUCAUGUUAAAAGGCACCCUGUGAAGAGGGAAUCCUGGGAGAAAGGAAUGAGAAGCUAAGGAAUGUUCUCUCUGGGACACUACCUCACUGUGACCGUAUUGGAAGCUGAAGAAAUCAACAAUCGUGAUGGAAUCUCUGCUUCUUCUUUUACACAGUUUGGAUAUUUUCUCCCCAAACCACUUCUGCUCUCGUUCCCAAGAGACCUAAUUCCAUUUUCAAUUUUAACACCAUUCUCAUUUUCAGAAGAGCUGCUACAGCACGCAGACACAGAAAUAGGGACCACUGACUAAUCCUGAAGCUAUAAUUGUCUAGGACAUUCCCGUCCAUAGCUGACAGAGACACAGCCACAGGCACCACCUGCCUCUCAGCCCUC